rnacentral:rRNA from 1 species
AACGAACGCUGGCGGCAUGCCUAACACAUGCAAGUCGAACGAGACCUUCGGGUCUAGUGGCGCACGGGUGCGUAACGCGUGGGAACCUGCCCUUAGGUUCGGAAUAACUCCCCGAAAGGGGUGCUAAUACCGGAUAAUGUCUUCGGACCAAAGAUUUAUCGCCUUUGGAUGGGCCCGCGUUGGAUUAGCUAGUUGGUAGGGUAAAAGCCUACCAAGGCGACGAUCCAUAGCUGGUCUGAGAGGAUGAUCAGCCACACUGGGACUGAGACACGGCCCAGACUCCUACGGGAGGCAGCAGUGGGGAAUUUUGGACAAUGGGCGAAAGCCUGAUCCAGCAAUGCCCGGUGAGUGAUGAAGGCCUUAGGGUUGUAAAGCUCUUUUACCCGGGAUGAUAAGGACAGUACCGGGAGAAUAAGCCCCGGCUAACCCCGU